rnacentral:pre_miRNA from 1 species
UCAUACUAACUAGAUGAGGUAGUGACUCAAAAGGUUGAAGAAAUACAUCAAAUGGAGUAAAACCUUUUGUUUCUCUAGCUUUAUCAGUUAUAUGA